rnacentral:rRNA from 1 species
UACGUAGGGUGCAAGCGUUAAUCGGAAUUACUGGGCGUAAAGCGUGCGCAGGCGGCUUUGCAAGACAGAUGUGAAAUCCCCGGGCUUAACCUGGGAACUGCAUUUGUGACUGCAAGGCUGGAGUGCGGCAGAGGGGGAUGGAAUUCCGCGUGUAGCAGUGAAAUGCGUAGAUAUGCGGAGGAACACCGAUGGCCAAGGCAAUCCCCUGGGCCUGCACUGACGCUCAUGCACAAAAGCGUGGGGAGCAAACAGG